rnacentral:tRNA from 1 species
CGGGGCAUAGCGCAGUCUGGUAGCGCACCUGCUUUGGGAGCAGGGGGUCGCAAGUUCAAAUCUUGCUGCCCCGACCA